ensembl:lncRNA
CAAAUAGCAUUUAGUGUUUCUGUUGAAUGCGAUCUUGUGCAUGGAUUUAUGGAUUUCAAGUGAAAUUGCUAUAAUUUUAGUUCUUUGGUUUGAAAACUCAACUGAAUACUGCUGUACAAAAUAGCUACUCUCAAGCAAUGUGCUGUAAUGGAAGAUUAUAUAUAAAGCAUAUUCUUUUAGUAUUCCAGGAACAUUGGAUGGUAAAUAUCAAUCAACAGUAAGUUUUAUUGUUUUAAAAAUGAAAGCUUUUGAAUAUUAUUAAAACAUAAUUUAGCAUUCCCAGGAAAUUAUGAUUACAAUCGCAAAUUUAGUACAGCGAUCCCUUGGUGUAGUAUAAUAACAAUAAAUAAAAAGUUAUUAUUUGGCAGAAUACUAAUCUAGACCAAAAGAAAUCUCAAAACAGUAACAAGUGCAUUACUGACAUAAUGUUACAUAACAUGCAUUGAUUUUUCUGUAUCUAUGGUUACAGGUAAUAAAUAUUUUCACAUGAAUCGACAAAUUUUUCUACAAUGGGCAGGCAGGCUUUGUGUCACAAACAUAUUUUGAAGCCACCAAUUAUUUUACAUUCAGUACAACAUACAAUUAUUUCUUGGCUACAUUUAACAGUAUGUAGUUUGAAGGCAGCAACAGUUUGUGAGUCAUUUUUAACACUCUGUGCACUCCAAAGCAUUUGGAUAGACAAUGAGGUGAGAAAAAUUAAACAACAUGCCUAUACCAUUUCAAUAAUUGAAAUAAUGGGGUGCAGCCUCGCUUCAGCGUAGCUAUAUAACUCUAGUUAGUGCUAAUGGUAGUUACUCACAUUUUCAGUCACUUGGAUUCAUCGGCACCACUAAUAAAUGUUCAAAUAUGAAUCAAAUAUGACUUUUCCCAACUCAUUUUCUAAAGAUACUGACAUGCUUGCCCUUCAAGUACACUACUCCUGGGAUUGAGAAAGUAGUUUUUAAAAACCUACUUUGAUGGUUUUGAAAUCAGAGAAGAUAUUCUUUCUUUUUUUUUAAUGACAGCUUCAUGUGAAGAAUAUAUAUUUUAAGGAAAUUUCUAAAUGGAUAGUUCUAUAGCAUAUUAAAAUACUGAAUAAUGAAUAUUAGCUUUAUAAAAUGGAAACUUUUCUUCUAUGUGUGUGAAUGAGUGUUUAAGUUGAGAGUUGACCUCUUUUAAAUAUAGUACACAGAGUGGUGUAAAAUUUUAACUGGAUGGAGCUCUUAAGUAUAAAUUAACACUGAAGGUCAGAGGAAAGGGGCAAAAAGAUAUGCAUUCUGGUACACACUGCCAGAUACUGUUUGUGAAUAGGAGUUCCAUGGUGAUAACCCUAGAUUCACACACUAUUAAGAAAUAGGAAUGGAGAUCUCUAUGUAAACCCCCAAAUUUUAAAAGUUGUGAAUGUGUUUUCCCACUUUGGUGUCUAUAUAUUGCAUAUUUAAUGUGAAAAGUGCUGGUCAAUGUUCUGUGGUGGAAAGAGAUAUUUCAUAGGAAAUUAAAAGGUUACAUUGUAAAACAGUUUUUAUUUUUAAACAAAUUAUAUUGUGAUAGCAGAAUAAAACAAAAACUUAGAUAUUUAGAUAGUGCACUGCAGGAAGAAGUGAAAACCCUGUGAGAACUAAUAAAACAUGUAUGCCUUUCCACAUUUUGUUCUAUUUUCCUUUUUUGAGGGAUGAAGAGCAAUUAUGAUUUUCAAGGAAGAAAAUGUUUUGAAUCUGAGACUGUGUGCUGCUUGAAUGAGGCAAGAUUUUUAGAUUGUUCCUUUCUGUGUUUGUGUUAAUUUGUUUACUAUUAGUUAUAAAAUGGAAAAUGGACUUUUUGUAGCACACGUAACAAAGAAUUGUUUAAUGUAUAUCUUAUAUUUCAUAUUAAAAGGUCUAAUUCUUGUAACCUAUAUUGACACUGUAAAUUUAAGAAAACAAAUUAAUAAAAACCUUCAAAAGAGCUUUGAUUAGGGGGAAAGUAGACAUCAUUCCUUAAAAUGUCCACUUAAAUUUCAUUCUAUUUAAAUAAAGUUGGAGGAAACUCACAUUUGAAAGUUUCUAUAUAUUCUUAUUGUGUUUAAACAAAGGGUCCAUUUAAUUACAGUAUCUUAGUUUUUUUGAGAAAGUGUUAUAUACAGUGUCCUGCUUUUUGAAAUAAAAGUGUUAACUACCCA